AGUGAACGCUGGCGGUAGGCCUAACACAUGCAAGUCGAACGGCAGCACAGUAAGAGCUUGCUCUUACGGGUGGCGAGUGGCGGACGGGUGAGGAGUACAUCGGAAUCUACUUUUUCGUGGGGGAUAACGUAGGGAAACUUACGCUAAUACCGCAUACGACCUACGGGUGAAAGCAGGGGAUCUUCGGACCUUGCGCGAUUGAAUGAGCCGAUGUCGGAUUAGCUAGUUGGCGGGGUAAAGGCCCACCAAGGCGACGAUCCGUAGCUGGUCUGAGAGGAUGAUCGGCCACACUGGAACUGAGACACGGUCCAGACUCCUACGGGAGGCAGCAGUGGGGAAUAUUGGACAAUGGGCGCAAGCCUGAUCCAGCCAUACCGCGUGGGUGAAGAAGGCCUUCGGGUUGUAAAGCCCUUUUGUUGGGAAAGAAAAGCAGCAGGUUAAUACCCCGCUGUUCUGACGGUACCCAAAGAAUAAGCACCGGCUAACUUCGUG
rnacentral:rRNA from 1 species